AGAGUUUGAUCCUGGCUCAGGAUGAACGCUGGCGGCGUGCCUAAUACAUGCAAGUCGAACGCACAGCGAAAGGUGCUUGCACCUUUCAAGUGAGUGGCGAACGGGUGAGUAACACGUGGAUAACCUACCUCAAGGUUGGGGAUAACAUUUGGAAACAGAUGCUAAUACCGAAUAAAACUUCGUAUCGCAUGAUACAAGGUUAAAAGGCGCUACGGCGUCACCUAGAGAUGGAUCCGCGGUGCAUUAGUUAGUUGGUGGGGUAAAGGCCUACCAAGACAAUGAUGCAUAGCCGAGUUGAGAGACUGAUCGGCCACAUUGGGACUGAGACACGGCCCAAACUCCUACGGGAGGCUGCAGUAGGGAAUCUUCCACAAUGGGCGAAAGCCUGAUGGAGCAACGCCGCGUGUGUGAUGAAGGCUUUCGGGUCGUAAAGCACUGUUGUAUGGGAAGAACAGCUAGAGUAGGGAAUGACUUUAGUUUGACGGUACCAUACCAGAAAGGGACGGCUAAAUACGUGCCAGCAGCCGCGGUAAUACGUAUGACCCGAGCGUUAUCCGGAUUUAUUGGGCGUAAAGCGAGCGCAGACGGUUGAUUAAGUCUGAUGUGAAAGCCCGGAGCUCAACUCCGGAAAGGCAUUGGAAACUGGUCAACUUGAGUGCAGUAGAGGUAAGUGGAACUCCAUGUGUAGCGGUGGAAUGCGUAGAUAUAUGGAAGAACACCAGCGGCGAAGGCGGCUUACUGGACUGUAACUGACGUUGAGGCUCGAAAGUGUGGGUAGCAAACAGGAUUAGAUACCCUGGUAGUCCACACCGUAAACGAUGA
rnacentral:rRNA from 1 species